CCUAGAUCGCCGGAAUCUGGAAGCUUGGGUAGGUCUUCGGUUAGGAGCAGCAACCCAAGCCUUGGUGUCCCCUUCCAUGCCCUAAUUUCACUGUGGGGUCUUCGUUUGGUUUCGGCAGCACUCCAGUCAGUAGCUCCCCUUGUUCCAGCAUCAAGAGGGGCUGUGAAUUGAGGUAGUUGUCGACGGAAGCUUUAGGGCGGUGAGGUGGAUUUCCAGCAGCCCACAUUGUUAUAGCUGUGAAUCUAGGACUUUGACGCGAGACGAGUAUCUCGGAGUCAGAUUUGGACCAU